rnacentral:tRNA from 1 species
GGGGGUUUAGCUCAGUUGGUAGAGCGCCUGCUUUGCAGUCAGCGGUUCGAGUCCGCUAACCUCCA